AGCAUAAAUCACUCAGAAGUCAAAAUACCUGCUUUCUCCCCAUGGUUUUGAGUGACUUUAAGCCAUGAACUGCCACCUGUUAAAUAAUUUCACAGAGGAUAUCUAGGGUCCUUGCUUGACGUAGUAACUGCUCAUUACAUAUUUGAGUGCAUGAAUGUUAUAUGGUUAGAUAGAGGUUUGACCUCAGCUCCUAGAUUGUGUGUGUGUGUGUAUGUGUGUGUAUUUUUUUCUCUCUUUUUCAGACUUACUAUUUUAGAAAUUAUAAGAAAAGGACAAACAGUGGGGAACAUAGUAGAGCCCUUGCUAGCAGGCAUAAGGGCCUGAGUUGAUUCCCAGUAACAUC